AUUGAACGCUGGCGGCAGGCCUAACACAUGCAAGUCGAACGAGUGGCGGACGGGUGAGUAAUGUCUGGGAAACUGACUGAUGGAGGGGGAUAACUACUGGAAACGGUAGAUAAUACCGCAUACCAUCAGAUGUUCCAAGAUGGCAUUAGCUUGUUGGUGGGGUAACGGCCCACCACGGCCAAGAUGCCUAGCUGGUCUGAGAGGAUGACCGGCCACACUGGAACUGAGACACGGCCCAAACUCCUACGGGAGGCAGCAGUGGGGAAUCUUCCACAAUGGGCGCAAGCCUGACGCAGCCACGCCGCGUGUAUGAAGAAGGCCUUCGGGUCGUAAAGUACUGUCAGCGGGGAGGCGGUACCCGCAGAAGAAGCACCGGCUAACUCCGUGCCAGCAGCCGCGGUAAUUC
rnacentral:rRNA from 1 species